rnacentral:lncRNA from 1 species
CUAAUAUAGAUAGAUAGAUAGAUAGAUAGAUAGAUAGGUAGAUAGAUAGAUAGAGGCAGGAAACAUGGCAUAGAAAUGAAGUCAUAAUGCACACUCUGCCUGAGCUGUCAAGCGUCAUGUUGAUGCAGACUAUCCUUGAACGCAUCAUUAAAUGAUGUCAUAAAGAAUUUUCCUAGGUUCUUGAGCGGAAGCAGUAAGAAAGGCAUUUCACUUUCCUUUUCAAUUGAUUCAGCAAGUACUGAUCACAAGUCAAGUUAGUAGGGGGCUAGUGCUGGUGACAGGCCAGCAAGGAGUAUUCAUCUUCAUUCUUGCUCAUCCUUUUGAAAAGCAACACGGCCUAUUCCUGUCCAUGCAUCCUGUUGUCUAG